rnacentral:rRNA from 1 species
UACGUAGGGUGCAAGCGUUGUCCGGAAUUAUUGGGCGUAAAGAGCUCGUAGGCGGUCUGUCACGUCGGCUGUGAAAACCCGAGGCUCAACCUCGGGCCUGCAGUCGAUACGGGCAAACUAGAGUACUGCAGGGGAGACUGGAAUUCCUGGUGUAGCGGUGAAAUGCGCAGAUAUCAGGAGGAACACCGGUGGCGAAGGCGGCUCUCUGGUACGUGACUGGACGCUGAAGACGCGAAAGCGUGGGGAGCAAACAGG